rnacentral:SRP_RNA from 1 species
GCCGGGCGUGGUGGCGCACACCAGUAGUCCCAGCUACUCGGAGGCUGAGGUGGGAGAUCGCUUGAGUCCAGGAGUUCUGGGCUGCAGUGCGCUAUGCUGAUCAGGUGUCCGCACUAAGUUCGGCAUCAAUAUGGUGACCUCCCGGGAGCGGGGGAUCACCAGGUUGCCUAAGGAGGGGUGAACCGGCCCAGGUCGGAAACGGAGCAGGUCAAAACUCUGUGCUGAGAUCGCGCCUGUGAAUAGCCACUGCACUCCAGCCUGGGCAAUACAGUGAGACCCUGUCUCU